rnacentral:tRNA from 1 species
GUUUGUGGUUCAGCGGUAGAGCGCUUGCCUAGCAUGUGCAAAGCCCUGAGUUCGAUCCUCAGCACUACG